rnacentral:rRNA from 2 species
UAGCGCCUCGUGAAUUCAUCUCCGGGGGUAGAGCACUGUUUCGGCUAGGGGGCCAUCCCGGCUUACCAACCCGAUGCAAACUGCGAAUACCGGAGAAUGUUAUCACGGGAGACACACGGCGGGUGCUAACGUCCGUCGUGAAGAGGGAAACAACCCAGACCGCCAGCUAAGGUCCCAAAGUCAUGGUUAAGUGGGAAACGAUGUGGGAAGGCCCAGACAGCCAGGAUGUUGGCUUAGAAGCAGCCAUCAUUUAAAGAAAGCGUAAUAGCUCACUGGUCGAGUCGGCCUGCGCGGAAGAUGUAACGGGGCUAAACCAUGCACCGAAGCUGCGGCAGCGACGCUGAUGCGUUGUUGGGUAGGGGAGCGUUCUGUAAGCCUGCGAAGGUGGCCUGUGAGGGUUGCUGGAGGUAUCAGAAGUGCGAAUGCUGACAUAAGUAACGAUAAAGCGGGUGAAAAGCCCGCUCGCCGGAAGACCAAGGGUUCCUGUCCAACGUUAAUCGGGGCAGGGUGAGUCGACCCCUAAGGCGAGGCCGAAAGGCGUAGUCGAUGGGAAACGGGUUAAUAUUCCCGUACUUGGUGUUACUGCGAAGGGGGGACGGAGAAGGCUAUGUUGGCCGGGCGACGGUU